UUACUUGGAUAACUGUGGUAAUUCUAGAGCUAAUACAUGCAAAUAGAGCUCCGACCGGGAACGGAAGGAGCGCUUUUAUUAGAUCAAAACCAAUAGGUGGCGGGCUCGCUCGUCAUCGUACAAUUUGGUGAUUCUGAAUAACUUUAGGCUGAUCGCACGGUCUCGUACCGGCGACGCAUCUUUCAAAUGUCUGCCUUAUCAACUGUCGAUGGUAGGUUCUGCGCCUACCAUGGUUGUUACGGGUAACGGGGAAUCAGGGUUCGAUUCCGGAGAGGGAGCCUGAGAAACGGCUACCACAUCCAAGGAAGGCAGCAGGCGCGCAAAUUACCCACUCCCAGCUCGGGGAGGUAGUGACGAAAAAUAACGAUACGGGACUCAUCCGAGGCCCCGUAAUCGGAAUGAGAACACUCUAAACCCUUUAACGAGGAUCAAUUGGAGGGCAAGUCUGGUGCCAGCAGCCGCGGUAAUUCCAGCUCCAAUAGCGUAUAUUAAAGUUGUUGCGGUUAAAAAGCUCGUAGUCGAAUUUGUGUCUCGCGCCGUCCGGUUCAUCGUUCGCGGUGUCAACUGGCGUGUCGCGAGACGUCCUGCCGGCGGGUCGUUCGCAAGAGCGGCCCAACUGACCCCGCCGCGGUGCUCUUCAUUGAGUGUCGAGGUGGGCCGGCACGUUUACUUUGAACAAACUAAGGUGCUUAAAGCAGGCUGAAAUUUUGCCAGAAUAUUUUAUGCAUGGAAUAAUGAAACAGGACCUCGAUUCUAUUUUGUUGGUUUUCGGAACCUCGAGGUAAUGAUUAACAGG
rnacentral:rRNA from 1 species